rnacentral:lncRNA from 1 species
UUUAAUGGAAAAUCUAUGGUCUGGAUGGGUUUGUGGGACUGACAGUACUAUAGUCUAUAGGAGACCCAAUGGGCCAAUAACUUAUAACUGAUCGGUUAGAAAAAUACAUUCCCUAGUUUCUCUUUUCCUUUUCCUUGAAUGCACUCAAGAACAUUCUCUUUGUUUAAAUCCUCUUCAUCUUGUUCCGCAGCGCUACCCUAAGCAUUGGGAUUAGGGCUUUUAACUAGUAAUUAUUGCAGAAUUAAGGAGCUACGUCAAUCCUAAUUGUGUCUGCACUCUGCCACACCUCAUUUUGAUUGAUUCAUCAUCAACUUAAUCUGUGAAUAAUCUUUGAAUUCGAUCACAGAUUAAGUUUCGUUUCUUCGAGUUGGAGGAAUCCGCAAUCUGUUUUCCCUCGCUCUCCUCCCAUCCAAUCAAUUAGAGGUGAGCCACUACGUCAUAACUCUUUCUUUUUUCAUUUAUUUGACUGAUUUGCAUUCCGUGAAUUUCAAUGGAAUGCUGUGGCGAGGUUCUUCAUUGUCAGUCACCACAUGUAUAUUUCAAUUCUUGUUAGAACUGUAAUUACAUUUGACAUAUCGUACACAAAUUUACUUAUAUUAAUUUGGUUGGUUUAUGUUUAGAUCUAAAUCUCGUUACUGCGGCAUCAUUCCCUCCGUAAGAAACUCACAAUUCUUGACUGGUACGACAAUCUUUCAAUACUCUCUCUCUCUCUCUACUGUGAAGAUUGUGUUCUACAUGCUUGAUUGUCAAUAUCUAAUAUUUUUACUAUUAUCUGCUUUCAAUCUGGUUGAAAAGGAUAGUAGUUUGUUAUAUUUUGUCACACAUCAUGAUGGUUAAGUUGAAAAUCGCUCUGCCAAACAAUUCUCUGGAGUUGCUUUGCAAGCAUUGUUGUUUUGUGAUUUCUUAUUGCUUUUAAAUGAUGCUUCUUCUGAACCCUCUUUGCUCUUUGAUGCAUAUCGUAUACCUUAAUGUAAGUUAGUUAUUAGCUUCAUUGCAUCGAUUAUAAUUUACCCAUCCAAAGAGUGUUGAGAAACGAAAUCUGGAAUUGUUCUCAAACAGAAAAUGGAGCUACCCUUUGCAGAAUUUCAUAUUUUUAUUCUGUUUAUAAGUUUACAGGGAAAUUGUCUUGGCUAUAUAAGGGAAAGAAGCUAAAUUAAGUAUCACAACAUGCCUUUUGUAACCCUUUUCAUGUCAUUUAUGUCUUGUGUAAAAGAACUCAACGGAAGACUUUCUCUAUCCAUAAUGGCUUAUUCGGUUCUUCUAAUUAUAAAACGUUUUUCUUUUAAUCUCUAUUUAAAAACAUCAUAUUUUAAAUCCCACACAUACCAUUUUUAAUCCCUUCAACGAGAAUUCAAAGAGAUUAAAGAUUAUGUGUGGGCACUAAAAGCAAAUAUUUAUAGGUAUAGAGACUAAAAGAGAGUUUUUAAAACUAUAGGAACCGAAUGAAAUAUUAAACUUAGAAUUUAUAUGGUUGUUUCCAGCAAAGUUGUUGUGAUAAUACUGUCAAUGUCAAUACUUCAUGUUUUUUCCGUUUAUUUCAUCGGAAGGGAGAGCAUUUGCUUCCUGUUCACAGUGGCUGAUUUCCUCCUCUUUUAGUCAAACAUGUUACCACUUAUGUGCUAUAACUAUAAGGUCUACAGAAAUAUAAAAUGACUAGAGUUCUCCUUGACGCUGCUGCUUCUCUGAAGACUCAGAUUGAUACCAAUAGAGACUUGGGUAUUACAGUGCUUAAGUUUAAUAUGAAGUAGUAAGAGAUAUUCGAUGGAUUAGUCCAAUGGUUUGGUUCUCCUCUUUUAGCGGGCACGUUUUUAGGGAGAGUUUUGCUUGUCUUCAGAUGCUUAUAACAACUUUGUAUAGCUUCAUGGUUGUUAUUCCUUAUUAGGAUGUAUCGGUGCUUAAUAUUUUUGGACAAUGUAUGUUUAAACUUUGCCAUUUUACACUAUUGAUGAAAAGAAGGCAGACAUUUUUCUUUACCUAGGUUUUCCUCGUUAGUGUUUUUUUUUUUUUUUUUUGUGGAUCAUGGUGAGUUUCUUCUGUUAAUUUGCCAUAUAGGCAGAUAAAUUCUUAUAAGAAAGCCUUUUUAGGUUGUCAUCUUCAGGCCAAUUAUCCCCCUUGCAUUCUAACAUUAAGUACAAACUCAUGGCAAAGCUAAGCUUACCUGAGAAGCCGCAUAUUAUUUCACAAAUCUUGUGUUUGCAUUUAUGGUUUACUUAAAUGUUACAUCUCUUUCAAUUGAUCAAAUUCACUCCAUCCGUAAAAGCAAAUGAAUUAGAAGCUUAAAACUAGAUACUGUUUUAACAUUUCUCUGAAUUGUUAAAUGUUUAGUACUUGCAAGACCUAUUACAAUCAUUUUAACCUAUUCAUCCACUUUUAUGCACUUGUUCCAGCUAGAGAGAUGCUGUUGAUUGUUGAAGUUCGUAGAGAAAGCUAUCAAAUCCAAGUGAUAAAUUUGCGCCAUCAAAUAAAAAUCUUGUCAUCUUAUAUACAGCUCAAGUAAGUAGGCAGCCUAACUACUGAAUUUGAGUAAUAUUUGAAGUUGUAAUGCAUUUUAAAAACGAAAUUUUUAGAAUAUACAUGUCAUUCAUGAUAUAUUUUUCAUUAUAUUCUUAACGCUGCUGUAAAUAAUUUCAAGAUAAUAAAACAAAGUUGUCAUUUUUGAUUCAUAUACGUUGAGCUUGAUAAAGCCAAGCUGCACUGACUUGCAGGCCUAAAGCUCUCAAAAAACAGAGGCUUCAAACAUUCAACUGGCCCCAUUCACAAAAUCCUAGCUGAAGACGACUAAUAACUAUACAGAUACAUACAUAUACAAAAAGCUAUACACUCAACGUACACCAAAAUUCACAGUUAUGUUA